rnacentral:rRNA from 1 species
AUUGAACGCUGGCGGCAUGCUUUACACAAGCAAGUCGAACGGUAACAGGCCGCAAGGUGCUGACGAGUGGCGAACGGGUGAGUAAUGCAUCGGAACGUGCCCAGUCGUGGGGGAUAACGCAGCGAAAGCUGCGCUAAUACCGCAUACGAUCUAUGGAUGAAAGCGGGGGAUCGUAAGGCCUCGCGCGAUUGGAGCGGCCGAUGUCAGAUUAGGUAGUUGGUGGGGUAAAGGCUCACCAAGCCAACGAUCUGUAGCUGGUCUGAGAGGACGACCAGCCACACUGGGACUGAGACACGGCCCAGACUCCUACGGGAGGCAGCAGUGGGGAAUUUUGGACAAUGGGCGCAAGCCUGAUCCAGCAAUGCCGCGUGCAGGAAGAAGGCCUUCGGGUUGUAAACUGCUUUUGUACGGAACGAAACGGUCCUGGUUAAUACCUGGGGCUAAUGACGGUACCGUAAGAAUAAGCACCGGCUAACUACGUGCCAGCCGCCGCGGUAAAAC